CACGUAGGGGGCAAGCGUUGUCCGGAUUUAUUGGGCGUAAAGAGCUCGUAGGCGGUCUGUUACGUCUGCUGUGAAAACCCUGGGCUUAACCCUGGGCUUGCAGUGGAUACGGGCAAACUAGAGUACUGCAGGGGAGACUGGAAUUCCUGGUGUAGCGGUGAAAUGCGCAGAUAUCAGGAGGAACACCGGUGGCGAAGGCGGGUCUCUGGGCAGUAACUGACGCUGAGGAGCGAAAGCGUGGGGAGCGAACAGG
rnacentral:rRNA from 1 species